UACGGAGGGAGCUAGCGUUGUUCGGAAAUACUGGGCGUAAAGCGCACGUAGGCGGCGCAGCAGGUCAGGGGGUGAAAUCCCGGGGCUCAACCCCGGAACUGCCUUUAAAACUGUUGGUCUGGAGGUCGAGAGAGGUGAGUGGAAUUCCGAGUGUAGAGGUGAAAUUCGUAGAUAUUCGGAGGAACACCAGUGGCGAAGGCGGCUCACUGGCUCGAUACUGACGCUGAGGUGCGAAAGCGUGGGAGCAAACAGG
rnacentral:rRNA from 1 species